AGUGAACGCUGGCGGUAGGCCUAACACAUGCAAGUCGAACGGCAGCACAGUAAGAGCUUGCUCUUACGGGUGGCGAGUGGCGGACGGGUGAGGAAUACAUCGGAAUCUACUUUUUCGUGGGGGAUAACGUAGGGAAACUUACGCUAAUACCGCAUACGACCUACGGGUGAAAGCAGGGGAUCUUCGGACCUUGCGCGAUUGAAUGAGCCGAUGUCGGAUUAGCUAGUUGGCGGGGUAAAGGCCCACCAAGGCGACGAUCCGUAGCUGGUCUGAGAGGAUGAUCAGCCACACUGGAACUGAGACACGGUCCAGGCUCCUACGGGAGGCAGCAGUGGGGAAUAUUGGACAAUGGGCGCAAGCCUGAUCCAGCCAUACCGCGUGGGUGAAGAAGGCCUUCGGGUUGUAAAGCCCUUUUGUUGGGAAAGAAAAGCAGCAGGUUAAUACCCCGCUGUUCUGACGGUACCCAAAGUAUAAGCACCGGCUAACUUCGUG
rnacentral:rRNA from 1 species